UACGUAGGGGGCAAGCGUUGUCCGGAAUCAUUGGGCGUAAAGGGCGUGUAGGCGGUUCGGUAAGUCGGCUGUGAAAGUCCAGGGCUCAACCCUGGGAUGCCGGUCGAUACUGCCGGACUAGAGUUCGGAAGAGGCGAGUGGAAUUCCCGGUGUAGCGGUGAAAUGCGCAGAUAUCGGGAGGAACACCUAUGGCGAAGGCAGCUCGCUGGGACGUUACUGACGCUGAGGCGCGAAAGCGUGGGGAGCAAACAGG
rnacentral:rRNA from 1 species